UCCCAACCCCUGUGAACAUACCUAUCCUUGUUUCUCGGGGAUCACCCCCCGGCCUUCUGGCCCCGACCCAGGGGCCCGCCGGAGGACCCAAACUCUUGAUUCUAUGAUUUUUUUCUGAGUAAACAAGGAAAUAAAUUUAUUCUUUCAACAACGGAUCUCUUGGUUCUGGCAUCGAUGAAGAACGCACGGAAAUGUUAUAAGUAAUGUGAAUUGCAAAAUUCCGUGAAUCAUCUAAUCUUUGAACGCACAUUGCGUCCGCCAAUAUUCUGGUGGUUAUGCCUGUUUUGGGGCCAUUUCAACCCUCAAGCCCCCGGGUUUGGGGGUGGGGUUUCGACCCUCCCUCCCGCCUGGGGCGCCUCCGGAAGGUAGAGGGGGCCUCGCUGGACCCCCCUCUGCGUAGGAGAUAACACCUCACAACGGCAAGUCAACGAGGACACGCCUCUAAACCCCCCACUUAUGAAGGCUGACCUCGGAUCAGGCAAGAAUACCCGC
rnacentral:rRNA from 1 species